rnacentral:rRNA from 1 species
AGAGUUUGAUCAUGGCUCAGGAUGAACGCUAGCUACAGGCUUAACACAUGCAAGUCGAGGGGAAACGAUAUUGGAAGCUUGCUUCCGAUAGGCGUCGACCGGCGCACGGGUGAGUAACGCGUAUCCAACCUGCCCACCACUUGGGGAUAACCUUGCGAAAGUAAGACUAAUACCCAAUGACGUCUCUAGAAGACAUCUGAAAGAGGUUAAAGAUUUAUCGGUGAUGGAUGGGGAUGCGUCUGAUUAGCUUGUUGGCGGGGUAACGGCCACAAGGCUACGAUCAGUAGGGGUUCUGAGAGGAAGUCCCCCANAUUGGAACUGAGACACGGUCCAAACUCAUACGGGAGCA